GACGAACGCUGGCGGCGUGCCUAAUACAUGCAAGUAGAACGCUGAAGGAGGAGCUUGCUUCUCUGGAUGAGUUGCGAACGGGUGAGUAACGCGUAGGUAACCUGCCUGGUAGCGGGGGAUAACUAUUGGAAACGAUAGCUAAUACCGCAUAAUAUUGACUAUUGCAUGAUAGUCAGUUGAAAGGUGCAACUGCACCACUACCAGAUGGACCUGCGUUGUAUUAGCUAGUUGGUGGGGUAACGGCUCACCAAGGCGACGAUACAUAGCCGACCUGAGAGGGUGAUCGGCCACACUGGGACUGAGACCCGGCCCAGACUCCUACGGGAGGCAGCAGUAGGGAAUCUUCGGCAAUGGACGGAAGUCUGACCGAGAAACGCCGCGUGAGUGAAGAAGGUUUUCGGAUCGUAAAGCUCUGUUGUAAGAGAAGAACGAGUGUGAGAGUGGAAAGCUCACACUGUGACGGUAUCUUACCAGAAAGGGACGGCUAACUACGUG
rnacentral:rRNA from 1 species